UACAGAGGUCUCAAGCGUUGUUCGGAUUCAUUGGGCGUAAAGGGUGCGUAGGCGGCGGGGCAAGUCAGGUGUGAAAUCCCAGAGCUUAACUUUGGAACUGCACUUGAUACUGCCCUGCUUGAGCACUGGAGAGGAGACUGGAAUUUACGGUGUAGCAGUGAAAUGCGUAGAUAUCGUAAGGAAGACCAGUGGCGAAGGCGAGUCUCUGGACAGUUGCUGACGCUGAGGCACGAAGGCCAGGGGAGCAAACGGGAUUAGAAACCCUGGUAGU
rnacentral:rRNA from 1 species